AGUGGACAUCUAUGGAUGAGAAA
rnacentral:piRNA from 1 species